ensembl:lncRNA
AUUUGGUUAACUGCUACUCUUCCUAAGUAAAACCAUAUAGGAAAGGGAAUUUGAAAACUGAAUCACUUUAUGAAUAUGCCUGCCCUAAGAAGAGGUAGUAACAAAGCUUAUCAGAGCACAGAAGUAUUGAGGAGGAGCUCCUGGCGCCUGCUUCCCUUAGCCCUUCUGCUGGAGUCCAGGUGCAGAAUCUGUUCCAUAGAGGAAAUCUCUCUGUCAGCAGACAGAGGCAGUAAUGACAUAUACGAACACAACAGUGAAAUGAAAGAGCAGCUCAUCAAGAGCACUUUGGGUUCCUGGAGAAACUUCCCACAGUGCAAAAGAGUUUCUAAGCUGUCCUGAAGAAAAAGACAAACUUGGGAGGAGCAGAAGAUCCCUUGCUUGCUGUUGGUCUUCAUUGUCAGAGCCAGUUUCUGGAAGAUCUGAAAUCUCUUCUGACAGACCCACUGGGAUCUCUGGUGGCUUGGCUGCUGAGUAGGCACAUUGAAGAAAAUCAAAAACUAUGUCUUCUGUUUGGGCCUAAAAUGUGGCUGUGUCCAACCACCAGCUCUCCAGGAAAGUUCCUCUUCAGAGGAGGAAGAUAGCCUAUGUCUGCAGGCAGCGCAUGCCCUCCGAGUUUCCAGUGGCCAGUGCCCUGCAGUCUGGGACACAUUCAUCCCAACUUGUCCAUGCUGAGGUAACACAGCUGAGCAUCCUGGUCCCACACCAUCCCACAAAGAUGCUUCUCUGAUAUUUCUCAAGGUAACUGCGGGACUGGAUAAGCCAAGGCUUCAGAGCCAAUUGUUUCACACUGAUGCUUCCUGGUGAUGCACUCAGCACUUCAGGUCCUGUGCUUCAAGAAAAACAUGCUCUCCUUCA